rnacentral:rRNA from 1 species
AUAUCAAUAAGCGGAGGAAAAGAAACUAACAAGGAUUCCCCUAGUAACUGCGAGUGAAGCGGGAAAAGCUCAAAUUUGGAAUCUGGUGGUCUUUGGCCCAUCCGAGUUGUAAUUUAGAGAAGCGUCUUCCGCGCUGGACCGUGCACAAGUCUCCUGGAAUGGAGCGUCAUAGAGGGUGAGAAUCCCGUCUUUGGCAUGGAAUCCCAGGGCUUCUGUGAUGCGCUCUCGACGAGUCGAGUUGUUUGGGAAUGCAGCUCAAAAUGGGUGGUGAACUCCAUCUAAAGCUAAAUAUUGGCGAGAGACCGAUAGCGAACAAGUACCGUGAGGGAAAGAUGAAAAGCACUUUGGAAAGAGAGUGAAACAGUACGUGAAAUUGUUGAAAGGGAAGCGCUUGCAACCAGACUUGCACGCUGCCGAUCAUCUGGGGUUCUCUCCAGUGCACUCGGCUGCGUUCAGGCCAGCAUCGGUUUGGGUGGUUGGAUAAAGGCCUUGGGAAUGUAGCUUCUUUCGGGGAGUGUUAUAGCCCUCGGUGCAAUGCAGCCUACCUGGACCGAGGACCGCGCUUCGGCUAGGAUGCUGGCGUAAUGGUUGUAAGCGA